AUUGAACGCUGGCGUCAGGCUUAACACAUGCAAGUCGAGCGAGAUGCGGACGGGUGAGUAAUGUCUGGGAAACUGCCUGAUGGUUGGGGAUAUCUACUUGACACGGUAGCUUCUACCGCCUACCAUCCGCUGUGCCCAGAUGGGAGUAGCUAGUAGGUGGGGUAAUGGCUCACCUAGGCGACGAUCCCUAGCUGGUCUGUGAGGAUGAGCAGCCACACGGGAACUGAGACACGGUCCAGACUCUGCAGGGAGGCAGAAGUGGGGAAUAGUGCACAAUGGGCGCAAGCCUGAGGCAGCCAUGCCGCGUGUGGGAAGAAGGCCGUCGGGUUGUAAAGCACUUUCAGCGAGGAGGCGUUACUCGCAGAAGAAGAACAGGCUAACUCCGUGCCAGACGCCGCGGUAAUAC
rnacentral:rRNA from 1 species